CAAAAAAUGAUCACACACAUGUAAACACACUCACUCAAUCGCUCACUCUGUUUUGUUGCAUCAUUCAUUGUAAAAUUGUGCCUCUCUCUUUUAGAUCUGACAACCCAAUUACAACCUCACAGCUGCAGUCAUCUGCCCCUCCAUCUGCUGCAGCGACAGGUGAUACAGAUCUGCCACCCCCAGCAUUUCAGCUGCAGGCACAGCAGUCCUCUGCUGUGGUAUUUAAUUUACCGGCUGCACCAGUUCCUACUACACUGGCGUGAACGGAGAAACUUUUGAGGAUUCCCAGAUGGAUACAGAUCUGCCACCCCCAGCAUUUCAGCUGCA
rnacentral:lncRNA from 1 species